GCGGGUGUGGUGGAAUGGUAGACACAGGAGACUUAAAAUCUCCCGCUUUAUGCGUGCUGGUUCGACUCCAGUCACCCGUACCA
rnacentral:tRNA from 1 species